AAAUUGAAGAGUUUGAUCAUGGCUCAGAUUGAACGCUGGCGGCAGGCCUAACACAUGCAAGUCGAGCGGAAACGAGUUAUCUGAACCUUCGGGGAACGAUAACGGCGUCGAGCGGCGGACGGGUGAGUAAUGCCUAGGAAAUUGCCCUGAUGUGGGGGAUAACCAUUGGAAACGAUGGCUAAUACCGCAUGAUGCCUACGGGCCAAAGAGGGGGACCUUCGGGCCUCUCGCGUCAGGAUAUGCCUAGGUGGGAUUAGCUAGUUGGUGAGGUAAGGGCUCACCAAGGCGACGAUCCCUAGCUGGUCUGAGAGGAUGAUCAGCCACACUGGAACUGAGACACGGUCCAGACUCCUACGGGAGGCAGCAGUGGGGAAUAUUGCACAAUGGGCGCAAGCCUGAUGCAGCCAUGCCGCGUGUAUGAAGAAGGCCUUCGGGUUGUAAAGUACUUUCAGUCGUGAGGAAGG
rnacentral:rRNA from 1 species